ACCACGGAGUGAUCAAGCAAAACUCCAUUCACAAGAGAGUUUAUACGAGGGAAAUAAGUAUCUCUUUCUAAAGAGCAGAUAAUAGAAAAUGGAGUUAUCUGGAAAUUAUGAGAGGGAUAUUAAUUUAGGAGUGCGUUAAUGAUAACAAAAACUAGGUUUAAGUUUUAGUAAAUGGAUUAUCUUAAGAUUUUGUUUUGAGGUUUUUUUUUUUAAUAAGGCUAAAGAAUACUACUUUAAAUUUGCUAAAUAUUAUAUGAUCUAAAAAGCUAAACUAAAAAAGAAUUUAUUUGGCACAUUUAAAGACUGAAGUUAAUUUUUUAUGCUUAAAAUAUAUUCUCAAAUAAAUCUUACUAAGCAGAGAGAACUUUCAGUUCUCAGGAAAACAUUUCUAUUAUAACAACUUUAUAUCAGCUCUACAGACUACUGGAAAGUAACAACUUCCUCCUUUCCUCACUGACAAAAUGGUUCGAUGGCUUCCAUACAUCCAAAUCACUGGCUACAGUAUUUUUUAUCACACAGAAUUUGCAGACCGUAAUAGUCUUCAACUACUCUAAAAGCAAAAUCUUCCCUAUUGCUGGAAAUUCCAUGCUUGAAUGUGCCCUGAGAUAUGAAGCAUGACAAGAACUAGCACCCAGUGGUCGUCAGAAUAAAAAUGCUUUGACAGCGGUUCCUUCAGAGGCUUGCCCCUCUCCCCCCAGCCAUCAACGCUGAAGAUGCUCCUAGGAUGGAAGGAUGGUGACUUUCCGGGCAUAAGCACUGUUUUCAGAAUCCAUACUUGUUUACUCAACAGAUCCACAUAAAGAAGCAGACAGGGAUGGGCAGGGGCAAAACACAUGUUCGAAUGCUUUGCCGUCUCAAACUUUUUUUUUCUCAAUAUUUUGACAAUGUCUUAACUAUUUUCCUGUGUCUCCUCUCCUUAUUUUCAAUUUAUUUCAUAUGUCACCAUAGGAACUUUUCUAUUAAUACGGAUCUAGUCCUAUUGCCUCAAUCGAUCUCCGGUAACCAUGUCUGAUCUACUGAAUAAAUUCUCAAGCCCUUGGCACUGCGUUGGAAAGAUGUCAUAGUGUGGCCUGAAUUCACCCCCACCCCAGCCAUAUUUCUAGUCACCUCCUCAUUAAGGAUGGGUCGGUCAUUCAAAUUUAAGAAUUCAUCAGACUGUAAAAUUGUGUGGUUUUGUAAGACCUACAUCAACAAGGACACCACUUGGUUGAGCGUCUGCCUUCGGCUCAGGGCCUGAUCCCAGGGUCCAGGAUUGAGUCCCACAUCGGGCUCCCUGCAUGGAGCCUGCUUCUCCCUCUUCCUAUGUCUCUGCCUCUCUCUGUCUGUGUCUCUCAUGAAUAAAUAAAUAAAUCUUUUUUUUUUUUUUUUAAAAAGGACCUACCAUCAACAGGAUAUGUACAUUUCAACUAAACCUAGUAUUGAAAUACAUGAAUGAGUGCACACACCAUUAAGUGUGUUGCUUGAUCAGUUUUCAACAAGAACAUACCACUGUCACUGUCACUCAAAUCAAAAAAUAGACGAUCACCUGCAUCGCCCCUGAGCCUCUCCAGAUCCUUUCCUACUCACUUCCUGCCCCCCUGCCUUCUAUCACCUGUGAGUCGUUUUUCUCGUUUUUUCAACUCUGUAGACAUGGAAUCGUACAGGAAGAACUCUUGUAAUCUGGCUUAUUUUGCUCAAUAUGUGUUUGUGAAUUUUAUCUGGGUCAAUGUCACAGUUACUGGCUAUUCUCAUUGCUGCAUCUCUUCCAAUUUAUGCUUUUUACUCGGACGGACAUUAGAUUACUCUUACUGUGCAGCUGUUAAGAAUAGUGCUGCUCUAAACAUUAUUGUAUGUGUGUUUUGGUAACUGUGUGCACGCAUUACUGUAGGAUGUCUAUCUUGGAAU